rnacentral:rRNA from 3 species
AAAGUCUAAACGACUCUCGGCAACGGAUAUCUCGGCUCUCGCAUCGAUGAAGAACGUAGCGAAAUGCGAUACUUGGUGUGAAUUGCAGAAUCCCGUGAACCAUCGAGUCUUUGAACGCAAGUUGCGCCCGAGGCCUCGGCCGAGGGCACGUCUGCCUGGGU